AGGUUCAUUGGCUGGUUCCCUCUUGUGCUUUCUCAAUGGUUGCAUUUAUAUUGUUGAUGCAUAUAAAGUUUACUGGAGUAGCUAUGUUAAAGGGAUUCACGCUGGACAAAUGGUUCUGCGGCUAGUUGAAGCAAUUGGUAACUUUUCAACAGUUCUUUCCUUCUCUCAAUGUGUAUGCAAUUAUGUACUAAAACACACACACACAAGCAAAUGAACAAGAAAAGAAAUAACAGAGAAAAAAAUGCAAAGAUGUUUGUUUCCUUCUCCAUUAUCAAUUACACAGUUACAACUUCAUUCAAUACAAGCUUGAGAAACACACUGAGAAGAGUAUCCUUUGGAAGCCCUUUCGAGAAAACACCCUCUCAGCCCUGGCUUAUCUUCUUUCACUCUUUCUCACUAUUACAACUCCCAAGACUUGUUACAACUGAUUAUUACAGAGCUAAAAAACAAUGUAAUUGUGCCACUCUAUUGAUCCAAAUGGUUUAUUUGAGGACUGAUAUUUGAACAGAAAACUGUCUCAUUCUCUUGCUUUCUGGUCUUAUCUUUUUCUCAUUACGAGCUUCUUUUGCUAAUAAUGUAAUCCAAUGACACAUAUGUUUAUCUUGCUGGGAUUGUCAUGUUGAUCUUUGGCAUGGGCUUAUACGGAUUGUUUAUCAGUAAUGUGCCUCCUGAUGAGAAAAAAGCAAGUGAAAGGCAAUCUUAAUGCCAAAGUUGGAAAGAUAGCUGGCUGUGUUGAUGUUAAUGCCCAAAAACAUAUCACUACUCUGAGGGAGGCAUAAUCCUGGUUUGCAAAACAUGCAUAUAUGAGAUGCUCUCGGAUGAGGAGGUCGAUUACUGUUCUGUAUGCAAAAUUGAUUUUGGGCUGUCUUCCAGUGGAGAAACUCAGGGUUGCCUACAAAAUAAUCAGACAACUCUGGAAUGGACUCUUUUUCCUUGGAUACAUAUUUGAAACCAAGUAUGCCUCUCUUUCCCUCCACAUAUUAAAAGAGGUUUAUUAGUCACUCCAUUGGGACUGGGAGGGAGGUAUUUAUGAGAGAACAUAUAGUUUUAUGGUGUCACACAUGUAUUAGUAGUUAAAGAACGAAAAAAUUUUGUUGAUAGAAUUUUUUUCCACUCCAAAAACUAAAUGACUUAUUUUUUUUCUUGCUUGGGAAACCCCAUGUAUGCUUGUUUCAUUUUUCAGUAAAGAAUAUAGUGAAGUAACUGCUUUAUAUCAUGCUUAUUAAGAAUUGAA